rnacentral:misc_RNA from 1 species
GGAAAUUAUUUGUUGCAAAAGGUUAUGUACCUUGGCACCCUUGGGGACCAAAGAAGACAGGAAAUAAGAGGGCCUUUGAUCAUAGGAGAUAUAGGAGGUAAACCUAGAGGACAUUCAGCUUGCAACACCUCCUUUUGAGCCAACAAAUGCCCUGCAAAAAGUUGAGGUUUGUGCCUUUAGCUGUUGAUCAGGAAUACUUGAUUUUGUUGAGUUACAUUAUUGAAAGAAUAUUUAUUUGUACUUUACCAAUGCCAAAUAGAGAAAGCAAAGCAAGAUGAUGCUUUUUUAGAUUUGAGUAAUAUCCUGGGUGAUUUAAAUUUUAGGCAUCGUUUUUUCAAGUUAUUAUAUUUUAAUCUUUAAACAAGAAGUAUUAUUGCAUUAUAUUUCCAAAUGCCUUUGGAAACAACCUUGUGCUUAAGUGGCAGGGGACCCUUAAAGUGUUGUGAUCAUAAACGUCUCAGUUUUCCAUUAACACUAUUUCUGAGCCUCUUCUUAUGGGGGUCUUAACUGAAGGUAGUGACCAAUUUUUAAUGCAUCCUCAUCUAUGAUUAGCCUUUGUUGAUAGGAUGAGAUGGACUUUAGUAGAUGACAUCAUUAUGUGACCAGUGAGAUCCAAAGAGCAUUUAAACACUUUUCUGCUCGUGACAUGCCUACUGGGACUCUAAGCUGUACUCCUGAGUUUCCUGAAUGGUGAAAGAUAUGGGUAAAUACUUUUCUCAUUCCCUGAUCAGGUCAUGCCUCGAACUCUCCAUCACAAAGAAGGCAAAGUCGACUGUUACUCCAUCUGGGGUCAAGAUCCAUAUGCCACUGAGCUCUGCCAAGGCUAACACACCUCCCCGUAAUCUCCUUGCAUUAUCGGGCAUUUGCUUCCAGGUGUAUUCAGCGUAUCAGAGACUAUUGAUAUUAUUGGUGAUGAUAGUCCAAAACAGUCGCCUCGGCUCUCAGUUGUGAAGCCGCCAGCCACACAUGCCUCUUCUGACUUCCGGCCUCUCAUCAGUCAGGAUGACAGCUUAAUAAAAUUUGUAAGGGAAAUUCAUGCUAUGUUUCAGGCUGAAGGACUGAUGUCUGAUUCUACAACUGUUAAGAAGGAUCCUAUAAAGCCAACUUAGAAAUCCAACAAGAGUCCAAGAAAGGAUCCUUCUGGCUCUACAGCUGCUGCCUCUCAGUCUGCUUUCAGAUUAUCAGAGUUGUCCACAUUUGAGAGUCCAUUGGCCAGAUUGGACCUCUCAUUCUUGUCCUGCUCUGUAGAUACUUCACCAUCUUCAGAUCUUGUGCUUGAUCCAGCUGAGAUUCCUUUAUGUGAUAGUGAUUGAGCCCAUCUACGCACUCUCCGUACAGAUUUGGCACAUCUCUUCAAGAGCUAUCAAGGAGUCACUUGUGAGAAUAGCUUCUUGGAACAACAAUUAAAAGAGUUCUAAGAUUGCAAGACAGGUUGAACAGGCAGAAGCUGCCAUUCUUGCUUACAGUGACACAACUGCUUAAUUCAAAAUUGAACUCCAAACUAAGGAAAAAAAGAUAGUCGAACUCUUUGCAAAACUGCAGAAAGAAUAUGUUGAGGCUCAUGACACUAUGGCUAAGCAAACCCACAUCUCCAGACUUCAAUCAGAGAAAGAAACUCAUUUUCAGGGCUUAGUAACAUUAUUAAGUUUCAAUUGCCAGCAAAACAAAGAGUUACUCUUAUGGAGGCAACAUCUAACUAGGCAGAGGAAAGAGCACACUGAGCGCUAGGACUGCCUCCGGACUUAUGUGAAUGACAGCUUCUUGUGAUUGUGUUUAGAUUCACCUUAUUGGCCAUGCUUGUUUUUGUUUUUUCAUCUCUUUUGCAGAUUUGUACAGUCCUGUGAUCGGCUUUUGGAUUUUGGCUUGAUUUUUGCUGAUGGACAGGUUAAAUCAUGAUUAUUCUUUUGCUGUGAAUUACUGAAUAGGGUUGAGCCCUCUACUUGAGAUUGUUGAUUGUUGAUCAGGGGCUGAGCUCUUGUGUCACUAUCACCCACUUCACUGAAUAUGAACUGUUUUCCAGCAGGUAUCCAACAAGCUGCAAAGCUCUUUUGCGUGUUUUGUCUGAU